GCUUAUGGAUGAGCAAAGAAAGUGGUUUCUUGAGAUGGAAUCCACUCACGGUGAAGAUGCUGUGAA
rnacentral:pre_miRNA from 1 species